rnacentral:misc_RNA from 1 species
GAUGAAGAACGUAGUGAAAUGCGAUAAGUAAUGUGAAUUGCAGAAUUCAGUGAAUCAUCGAAUCUUUGAACGCACAUUGCGCCCGCUAGUAUUCUGGCGGGCAUGCCUGUUCGAGCGUCAUUUCAACCAUCAAGCCCUUUAGCUUGUGUUGGGGACCUGCGGCUGCCGCAGCCCCCGAAAUGCAGUGGCGGGCUCGUUGUCACACCGAGUGCAGUAAUCAUUCUUCUCUCCGGGCGUGGCGGCGGGUUCCGGCCGUAAAAUCACCAAUUUAUCAAGGUUGACCUCGGAUCAGGUAGGAAUACCCGCUGAACUUAAGCAUAUCAAUAAGCGGAGGA